UGGAAACAUUCCCCCCGAACGCGUUCGCUGUUUUCUGGGAUAAAACGGGGUUGGAAAAUAAGAAUGUCAUACUCGAGCAUUACGCGCGAUUUAUUUUUCAGGUUAGCUUUCUGUUUCCAGGUAAUGGAAGCUUCACGUUCGACCUUCUCUACCCAUCACGCCCCUUCAUCACGUUACCUGAAGAAAACAGCCAAGAGUGGUUUGUCGAAGUCCAACUUUGUAAUCCAAACUAUAUAUUUUAUAGAUCUAAAUAUAAUUAGAAAUAAUUCUGAAUGCACCUCUUAUAACCCUCUCCCUCCAGAAAGCGUUCGGCUGAAUAGUUUUCUGUCUUGCUUUUGGAAAGUUUAAGAUUGAGACUUCGGUUCUGUUCCAAGCCUUAGCGGACUGGAUGAAGAGGAUGAUGAUGAUGAUGGUGGUGGUGGUGGGAGAGCGGGCACACACCGUCACGACUCCGUCUCCAGUGCGGCCGUCGGUAAUGGGAUCCAGCCUGCGGUGAGGAAAUCAUCCGGGAUGCUGCAGGCGCACGAAAUGGUUGACGCUCGUUUAACCUUCGCUUCGAACUCCAAAUUUACUGGUAAUUAGACUGGCUCUUUGGAAAAUAUAACGAUCAAAAAUAGAUUCAGUCAAGACGACUUAGCCCAGAUAUGCGGCGAUCAAAACAAGUUGAUUUUAUUGCUCAAAGAUCAAGACUUCGCUGCUGUUUUCUUUAUAUAGAAGGCUACACAAGACGUAUUCUAACCAAAGUUCCAACUCCAACUGGUCAUAUCUUUGUACGUGUUUCUGCCAUGUAAAGUCGUUUUAAUUAAAAUACCUGAUAAGCCCAGGAAGGUUUCCCCAUGGACGGCAGACCAAACAACAGAUGGGAAAAUCUGACAUAAAAAAAUGUGACAAAAAUUAUUGUUAUACAUUGUUGUACAAUUGUGAUUAUUUCAUUAUUAGCCUGGUAGGUGCAUAUGCAUCAAAGAGUACACAAAAGUACACAAAGAGGACAACUGCUGUUAGGCCUCAGCAGGGCUGCAGUAACUUGUCAGGG